rnacentral:lncRNA from 1 species
AACUAUCACAAAAGGAGUCUUCUUCCGAUCCACCGAUUCCAAAUCAGCCUUUAUGAAAUCAUACUGCUUGCUUCCAGGAAGAAAAUUAGUCUCAGUAGACAUGUAAAGAAAGUGGACCACUCCCAUAUCAAAUGAGUAGUACAGGUUCCGGGUGGCCGGGGCCUUCAUUCCAGUGGGUUCCGAGGAAUUGCCAGGCAUGUUGAACCUAAGGCUGUAAGGUACUCCACAUUCACCUCCCCCGUCUGUUCCAUAUAUUGUUCGGGCCCACUGGGGCUUCCAAGGUUGCGAUGGCCAAUCAUACUCAUGAUUGCCAAUACACACAUGGUAUGGAACUUGGGCAGCGACGGGCUCGAUCUGAGUGAAGAAAUGGUCCCACAACCAAGAGUAACCUCUUGCAUAGCUGAUAUCUCCAAUGUGAGACACAAAACUUGGCCUGUUCCCUAGAGCUUCAAUGUCACGGAGGAUCCACUUUAUGGUUGUUAUGCUCUCAUCUUGUGUGCGGUAGAAUGUCGUGUAUGGUGUUGCAGUUCCCAUAUCUCCAAAUAAAAAUGCUAUCGUCUCAUCCGAGUCUUUAGCCCUAGGCAUAAAGCUGUACGUUUCACUCCAACCACCAGAGUCGCUCCCAACCUGUUGCGAGAGUAUGGAAAUUCCAAUCACCAAGAGGUACUAGUCCCAAUCGAAUUUCGAGCAUGCUUAUAUCAGUUGUGAUACUUCUACAACUGAAAAGACUAAUCACACAGAACACCAAAUUCUACUGAGAAAGCAGACAAGCCCCAUUAACAUCAUGACAGAUUCUAUGAUUCUAUCCCAUGUAUUUAUUGCCUGAGAGACCAAACAGUCAUGCAUUCACACUGGGAAUUCUGCGUGAACCAUACCGUUCAUGGACAAGACCAAGGGAAAGCCCAAUCCGUGCAUGGUUUCCACAUGCAAAAAUAUGAUGGAAUUCAACGCACCUUUUUGAAGGGUGGUGAGGCAGCAGCAACUAGCAACUAAACCAGCAUCGACAUGUAUCCAAACCACCAGGACAACAGCAAACUCACAACCAUACCAUUUUCUCUUAGCCAUCAAAAAGAAAUGAAAGUGCUGACCCAACAUGAACCUUAAUCUAAAAAGAACAAUCAAAGCAAUCAAACCUAGCAAGACUUCCAUUUUAUACAUAAUCAAAUAACAAAAACUGAUCACAAACCCUUGACUAAAAAAAAAAACUGAUCACAAACCUCAUAAAGCACAAUUCAAACACCAGCUCACCUGAUAAUAAUACCUCACCCCACCCUUCAAAUUCCUCAUGACCGCAUCAUGAGUCCACCCAGGAUCCCUCCACCCGACGCUAUCGUUCGCCGGCGCGUCGCACAUGUCGUCCCUCUCGUACCUCCCCGCACGCGCCGUCGCCAACUCGCCCAUCUUCCCCUCUCUCUUCCCGUACCUGACGUACCUCCGGCCGCCGUCCUCAGCCACGAACAUGACCCGCAUCUCAUCCUCCCGAUCCGUGUACGACAGGUGGACCUGCUCCGGUCCGCGGCCCGGCUCGAACCCGGCCUCCUCGGAGGCGCCGAGGAAGUGCUUCGCGCCCGGCAGGGGGUUGUGGUCGUGGUCGAGCCGGGUGCGGUCGACCUCGGUCUCGGACCACCGGAAGAUUCGGAAGGAGUAGUUGGAGCGGAGGUUGGGCAAGGGGAGGGAGACGGAGCCCGACCCGGAGGAGAGGUGGGCCGGGUCGGAGGAGAGGAAGACGUAGCCGAUGAAGAGGUCGUGCGGGGAGUCGGGAGGGGAGUAGACGCCGAGCCAGUCGAGGCUGGAGGGGGAGUCGACGCCGGACCAUCGGAUCCGGAUCGGGUCGCCGGAUUUGGAGAGGAUCUUGGGGGAGAUGGACAGGGAGGGUGCGGAUUCGGUUGAUGGGUCGAGGAGGGAGAGGAGGGAGAUGACGAGAAGAGGGAUCAUGGUGGCGAUGGUGGCGGUGGCGGUGGCGGUGGCGGUGGAGGCGGAGGUGGUUGAGACCGGUGGUGGUUUUAUCGGGCGAACUGGCGGCGAUCGCGGGUUUCGUUUGGCGUGGAAGGGAUAUUGUGGUGGGACUUUCGGGAUUAUAUUUCGGAUAGAUUGAUGAAAGACAAACGUGAAAAUCGGGAAUAUGCUUCGGACAUAUUCUAAUUAAUCAUGCUUACGAUACUUAGCAUUCGCCGUAAGAAAAAGUUGAUCUUCAUCACCUUUACUCCCCAUCUCAUGUCGAGUAUGCUCAAAUGGAUGCAAUUAUGUUGGAGAUUUUUUAUAUGUAUGGAUCAUAGAUAUAUCAUAUAUAUGUAGAUUUUCGAACUUUAUUGGACAUUUUAAAAGUUUUACUACUCAAUUGAAAUUUUAAUGACAAAUUUAAGAACUUGAUUGUUCUUUUCUUUUCAAAAAUUGUAGGACUUAAUUAUACUUUCAUGAUAAGUUUUAAGAUAGAUUAUAUUUUGAAGUGGGGCUACUGUUUUGACAUCUUGAUUUCACAAUUUGAGAUUAAAUCCCGAGAGCUUAGCCGAGGUGUAUCACACACGCAUGUUCCUAGGCCAUCUAAAUUUUCAAUUUCAUUUUUUUCUUCAAAAAAUGAAUAAUUUAGAAGAUAAUUUUCUAAAAAUGAUACUUAUAUAGCUUAAAAAAUUGAAUGAGCAAAAAAUAUUUUCUUUAUCUACGGAAAUAUUUAGAUAUAAAUUAUUGUUGAUAAUGAAAAUAUUUUUAAUUAACCAAUUAUUUUAAACAAUAGAAACGAUUAAUUUUAGGAAAUAUUUUUUAGAUUAUUCAUUCUCUAUGAAGCAAAUUCAUUUCGAUCCAAGUUUUCCCCAUACAUUUGUGAUGCCCUUCUAAAAUGUUGUGGAAAUAAAGAGCUUAACGAACUCAACACCAGUAAUUUGUGAGUCCAAGAUUGGGAAUAUAUGUUGAAGCUUAUCAUUUGUGCAUUCGAAUUACUAUGAUUUCAUAACUUUCUCGUAAUAAACAGGCAUUAUCGACAUGGUUAUUCUAUAUAGUAUAUAUCUAGAAAUAGGAAAAACUACCAAUUUAGUUAUAACCAUCUCAAUUUUGUCAAAGAAAUAAUAAGUCUUUAUACGAAAUUUCAAUGCAAUCUUUCCCGCGAAUUACUUUGAGUUUUCAUCAAUUAUCCAAUUAUAAAAACUACAAUUUUAUUUUUCUCCACUGAAUAAGCCUUCCAAGAACACCCGUGGGAAUCGUCAAUCCAAACCAUGGAUCCGAUUCGUCAAUUCAAAUUUCAAGAUUAAUCCGGCCAUCCCACCUCAUUUCUUGAAGUGGGUUUUCAGUAAUAUCAUUGUUGAGGCGUGACUAGUGAUUAUAUGCAAUCCUCAAGUGAAAUGUGGGCUUUCAUAUGUGCAGGUUAUCGAGUCGACCUUCGGCAGCUGCUCGUCAUUUUUCACGAGCAUUCUCUCUUUCUGAGUUUCAUUUGCAGAGUUCUAAACAAGGAGCGGUUUUUCUUCUUCUUUCUUCUACUUUGGGGGUCUGCGUCUGUGGGGGACUUGUUUUGACCAUCUUCGAGUUCUUUUCACCUGAGACUCUCUCCGAAUUCCAGGUACCCAGUUGCUUGUUUCCUUUUUCUUUUUCUUUUUUUGAUAAAAGGUAUGAAUAUAUUGAUGUUUAACCAGAAAGCUAUAAAUAGCUAUACAAUAAGAGCUCGGUCCCAGAAACUUGCACUCAUAGAGACGGGAGUCAGAGUGAGUGGAAAGGGGCCGAGGUAAAAGAAAGUAGAAACAGGCAACAGCAAAAGAAAAGAAGGCAAGAGCACCAGCUAGCCUACUCCGAUACAGAGAACAGAGAGGCUACAAAAACAAAAGAAACCGGAAACCCACUCAAAGACGGGUAGAAAGGAUGCUGCCGACGCCAACGAAAGGAGCGAAGAACAUCAAUCCGAGCUUCCGCAUCAGCAGCUUGUAGUUAUGAAAAACCUCCAAACAAGAGAUAGUUAAGGAACCCCCUACUCAAGAAGUCGGGCCACCAUUGGGAUAUGCUAAUCCGCCAAGAUAGAGGGAUUGAGCGACCAACUUUGCAGCAGUCUUCUAUUUGUAGAGGUGGGAGGGACGUGAUGGAAGGACAAUGCUUUGUCCUUAAUGACUCUUUCAAGAUGCAUUUUCAUGGCCGAGAGGGAGGGAGGUCUACCCCGGAAAAGGAUGUUAUCCCGCUCCUUCCAAAUGAUAUUGCACAUAGCAGCAAACCCAAACCGAGCAAGAGAAGAGCGAAAAGAAGCCUAGAUAAGUAUUUGAUCGCCCAGAACAAAUUAUCCAACCAAGAAUUGUUCCGCCAAGCAAAAUUGAAUCUAGCAGCCUAGAAAAUCGCUAAGGCAGAAGGUAUACAACACCCAAAAAAUAAGUGGUCGACCGAGUCGGGCCUAUAAGAGCAGAAGCCACAAUUCGUAGCUAGGAUACGACCAUAGGUGAGAAGAAGAACCUGAGUUGGUAAUCUGUUCUUCGUAAUUAGCCGAAUCAAAAAUUGAAAUCGAGGAGCUAACGAGGAGUUCCAGAUGAAAGGAGCCCACUGAUUCGAAAGGCUUCUUGGGCGUAUGUUAUCCCAAGCUGAAGCAGCAGUAAAGUUGCCAAAAGGGCUGCCCAACCAGUGGAAUUAAUCAGGUUCAUCAUUAAGUUCAGGAAGGGGGUCAUCCCAGGAGUUGAUCACUUCCAACACGCCCGAAGUGGGAUCCAAAAAAUUCAAAAAAUCGGCAACAGAUGCUCCUUUAGGAAGCUGAGAGCGAUAAAUAUCUGCAUUGGUAAACAAUAAGUUAAGCGGCCCUUUAGGAGUUGUCAAACCAGAAAGAGAUGGAGCAGUCAUUCCCCACAUGCCAGGAAAAGGAUUUGCGGAAGUCGCCACGGAGGUCUAGGAUUUUCUUCCAAGACCAGGAGCAACAGGUAGGUUUUGAGGUAAACUAGAAGUUUACAUUCUUCAAAAAGACUGAGUGAAUCCACUUGCACCAAAGAGAUUCCCUGUCUGUGAAUAACAACCAUAUGUGCUUUAACAUGGCAGCUGUGUUACUUUCUCGAAGUCUGCGGAUUCCCAAGCCACCUUCAGACUUAGGAAGGCAAGCAUCAGACCAAGCAACCUUAGCACCACCCAUUCUGAGGUUAGGACCCUUCCAAAGGAAUUGUCUCAAGAUUCGCUCAAUGUCAUACAACACCGAUCUCGGUAAAAUGAACACAUUUGCCCAAUAAACUUGAACAGAGUGGAGCACUGACCUAAUGAGUUGCAACCGGCCUGCAAAAGAGAGGAAGUGUUGUGUCCAAGUUUGCACUCUUGAAGUGAUGAUGUUAACUAAUGUGAUACAGUCAACUUUGCGAAGCCUGGAGGAGAUGACUGGAAUUCCAAGAUAUCAGAAUGGUAGGGAUCCUUCCUGAAAUCCAAAAAGUGUGAUGAAGGCGUCACGGGAUUCAAGGGAGACCCCUAAAAGUAGAUCUCACUUUUGUGGAUGUUCGGUUGAAGCCUUAACCAUUGAGAAAAUUUAUCCAAUCCUGCUUUAAGAAGAGAUAGAGUUGGCAUAGAGGCCCCAACAAAAAGCAACACAUUGUUGGCAAAAAAUAAAUGAGAGAGUCUAGUCGAUUUACAUCUCCAGAAAAAUUGGAACAACAGGUGAUUAGUUUGCAUAUUCAUUAUGUCAGUGAAAACUUCCAUGACAAACGUAAAAGGUAAGGCGACAUUGGAUCACCUUGUCUAAUACCUUUGCCACUAGGAAAAAAUCCAUGCAAUUCACCAUUCAGGGAAAUAGAGAAGUGUGGUGAUCGAACACAUGUCAUAAUGAGAUGAAUGAAAUGGAGGGGAAACCAGAAAGCUUGAAGCAUUACCUCCAGAAAAUCCCAAUUUAGUGUGUCGUAGGCAUUUCGGAAAUGAACUUUGAUGGCGCAUUUAGGCUUAUAUGGCUUGAUGUGAAACCCCGCAAAUGGCUCCUGAGCUAGAAGGAUGUUGUCGCUAAUCUAUCUUCUUUUGACAAAUGCAUUUUGAACAUGGCUAAUAAUGGAAGGCAUAACAACCGCCAUACGGUUUGCAAUAAUCAUAGUUAUGCAUUUAUACACCGUGUUGCAACAAGCAAUCGGUCUGAAAUCAUUUACCGUAGUAGCAUUGGGGCAUUUGGAUAUAAGAGUAAGGAUAAUGUUGUUAGAUUCCUUCAGAAGCUUACUGGUAGAGAAAAAAUCCUUGAUCGCGCAAAUAACCGAAGGGCCAACAAUAUCCCAGCUAUGUUUGUAAAAUUCCACACCAAAACCAUCAGGCCCAAUGCCUUUCCAGCAGCUAGGGAAAAUAGGGAUUCCCGUAUUUCAGUAUCCAAUACAGGUCUUGAGAGGUGGAGGAUGUGGUUAUCGUCCAGCUCUCGAGGAAUUACCGAACGGACAUCUUGUAUUGAAGGCACGGUGGAGAGAGGCGAAUAGGCCAAAAGAUCCCAGAAAUGAGAAACUUAGUAGUUGCUGGAUUUGUGGAGGGUCUUGAACCAAGUUCCCUGCAUUAUCUGUAAGAGAAAGAAUUCUAUUGAGAAGAUGCUUCCUAUUUACCAAAUGGUGGAAGAAUUUGGUGUUAAGGUCACCCUCUUCAAACCACUUCACUCGAGAUUUCUGUUUGUAGAAACUUUCUUCUUGAAGACAGAGGUCGGAGAAGAUAUUAAUGCAUUCUCUUUCACGAGCCGCAAGUUGUAAAUUGAAAGGAUCAAGAUGGAGAGAAAAAAUCCUUGAUCGUGCAAGUAAUCGAAGGGCCAACAAUGUCCUAGUUGCUUGUUUCUUGAUCUCCUGAUGAUUCUUGAUUCUUGUUCUUGCCGUGUGUGUUUGUAUCUUCAAUCCUUCCUUUAGUGAAACAGUUUGAUGUUCGUUUUCCCUCUCUGCAUUGGUGGAUUUGUGUCGUUGUGUGUGGGCGAACUUUGCAUUUGUGGGAUUGGUUUUUGCUCCCCGAAGCCGUCCGUUCUUUUCUCCUUGCUGCUAGGUCGGGGAGAGAAAGAGAGAGAGAAGGAUUAUCCCGCAUAGUGUUUUUUUUUUUUUUUUUUUUUUGAGGGAAUGGAGAAUGUGAAGUUAAGCUUCUGCAAUUCCUUGGUCUAUGAGAUGAUUCAUAGCUUCCCUUCCAUUUUAACAUAAUGAUGCUUUAGUAGCUAUUCUUCAAAAGGAGCAUUAGCGGUUAAUUACUGGCCAUGAUGAUCUUGGCUCACAUAAUAUAUCAUCCUCGCUUCAUUCCAUAGUUUUUGUCUGCAUUAGUGCGUCAUUUUCAGAGGGGAUCCAAUUGGGGCAUCCUUGAGCUUUUUCUUUUGUUGGUCUUUCUGUCUAGUUGAUGAAAUGUUUUGCUGAAGCAACCCACAUUCAUUGAGUUCAAGGGCUCGGACAUUUUCACUUUUGCAAACAGGGUUGACAUGAACCGUCUUUUUAAACUACAUUCGUGUAUCCCUUGUCAUGAAGAUGUGCUUGGAUCUUGGAAUUAGCUUCGUGAGUAACUCUUGUUGUUUUGCUUCAUCAGGUUCUUGGAAUUUUUACCAUUACGUCACCGUAUUGAAAAAAGCAACUUCUUCUGAUCUUUGAAAAUGUUUGGAUUUUUAAAUCACCGGUGAAUAAGGUUUCCAAUCAAAACUCUGUGGACCUUCCAUCUUCAGGAAAAAAUCCUUUUGAUUCCGAUACUGAAUCUGACACGAAAUCUACCAUUAAACCUUAAAGGCGAGCAAACUCAGAGCCCGUGCUCAUUGUGCCAAAUCUCGGUGGAAUUCCUUUCGAUGAUGAUAAGGGACGAAGAGGAGCGACUUUCAGGUUCAUCAACAGCACGGGAUGAAUACAGGAACGACUUUCAUGAAUCAGGAGGGCUAGAGAAUCAGAGCGUUCAAGAAUUGGAGAACUAUGCCGUGUACAAGGCGGAGGAGACUACAAGUACUGUCAACAACUGCCUUAAGAUUGCUGAGGAUAUAAGAGAGGAUGCCACGAGGACCCUUGACAUGUUGCAUAAUCAGGGCGAGCAGGAGGACCCACGAAAUGGUUGCCGAUACAGAUAAGGACUUGAGCAAGAUAUUGUGAACUUGGCACGCUAAGAAUAUGAUCUAGAAAAAUAUGGCCACAAUUUUCUGCUGUCUGGUACUUUAUCAGUUUCUUUAUAUAACAUUCUGUUUUUCAUCCAGAUGACACCUCGAUAUUGUUUCUUGAGCGACUUCUAUUUUCAUUAUUAAUUAUUACCCAUACAUUGUUUUGGUGAAUACCAGGGGGAAAAGCUCUGAGGAAACCUUGGAGGAAUGUUCUCUAAGACUUGGAAACCGAAGAAGACCCGAGAAAUUUCAGGGCCCGUAGUUACAACAGGUUUCUUACCCAAUUGCUUUGUCGUGGUUUCUUUAUUUAAAUGUACGCACAGCUUUUCUGAUGAAACUUGAGUAUUUGUACUUUCCACGACGAUUACAUCAACUCAUCGGCUCUUUCCUCCUGGCACGACAGACAAUUCAUCUAAAAAAGUGACAAAAAACAGAGGGAGAAGUUGGGGUUGGCUCCUGUGCCAAAAGGAAAAGGGACUACUCGUACUCCUCCGCCUGAACCAACAAAUGCAUUGCAGAAAGUCGAGGUUUGUGGUUCAACGAGUUUGUUUCCCUCAAAUAGCAGUCUUUGAGCAUCUGUUCACAAGGACUUUUCGGACGGCAGGUUGAGAAGGCAAAGCAAGAUGAUGCGUUAUCAGAUCUUAGCAAUGUCUUAGGUGACCUGAAGAAUAUGGCUGUUGAUAUGGGAGGCGAACUUGACAGGUCUGAAUAUGUCCUAACUUAUAUUCAUAUGCUUUCCUACUUGACCUAUUUAAAUGUGCCUGAACUGAUACACUUCUAGCUUUGAGAUUGAAGUUUGAUCAAGAUAAUUUUCUGGUUUGGUGAAGUUUUGCUUCUUUGCCCUUGUCACAUUCUCUUAUAAAGGCAUAGGUCUUUACUUAUAGAGCUAAUGUGGUGCGUACAGGCAAAACAAAGCUCUCGACCAUCUAGGUGAUGAUGUGGAUGAGCUGAACUCUCGAGUGAAAGGGGCCAACCAACGUACUCGUCGUCUGCUUGGCAAAUGAAGGGAGAGCAAGAGCAGGCUUCUUUAUUGUGCAUUUCCUCUGAUUUGCCUUCCCAUAGCUGUUGUAGUGUGUUCUCCCUCUUUCUUUCACCAAGCCGAAAACGAAGAAUUUUGUUUGAUAGCUUGUACCGCACCAGCAAUUGAAAUAAACUAAUCAGCAAAUGAAAUAAACUCAUCUUUCUGCAAAUUGAAUUAUUGUUUGGUGAUCUUUCGGAUUCCUGAAUUUCUUGCUACUUGUAUAUAUAUUUAGCCCAUAUGUCGGUACUCAAUACGGGUGGAGAUGAACAGUAGACAUCAUAAUUUGUAAAAUCAAUGCCCCAAACGACCAAACAGCAUAUUCAUAUGCUGAAGGUGGUUCCAGACAAUGCAUCAAAUACACAAUGGACAAAACCUAAAAACAUAAGACAGGAGUGUAGAUAUAUUAGUUUGAGUGGCAUUCUCUAUGAUUCCCUCCUCUCUUUUUUAUUGCAAACUGUUGUCCAACCAAUAAUUUUUUACAAGACCAUGGCCUGAACCGAAGUAAUAAGACACAAGUCUCCCUUGACAAAGCUGUAACAGCAAAAGAAUGCACGAUGACACCGGGUAGCAUCUCCAAGUUGAGCUAUAAAAUGGAGAAAGCGAACAAAGAUGAGAGACGAAUGGUCUGUGAAGAUGAAGAUGAAGAUGAAGAAAUGAAUCAAGAUACAGAGGAAUCAGCAAAGGAAAUACUUUGAAUCACUCUAUUUCAAUAUGAUUGUAGUACAAAGCUUCUGUGUAUCAAUGACAGCUUAUGAAUACAAAUCCUCUGUUUUACAUCCCCUGUUUCUAUCUCUCUAUCACAGCACAUAUCAGUUUAUACAAUGCAGAGCAUCCAUUGAUGAUUGCUCUCUAAGUUCUCUCUCUCUCUCUAUAUAUAUCUAUUUUUCUUCUCUGCUUUGCUUACUUAUCCAUCGAAGAAGAAGAAGACUACUUAUAUCAGAAAAGAAUAACAAACUGAAUACAACUAACUAUUUCUUAAUUUGUUUCACCACUCUAAACCGAAUAACAGCACGUGUGUCAGUUGAGAUCUACAUCACGAGCUCUUCACCGUUGAUCAUCGGCUCAUUGGUACUUUCCCGUUUUUGUUUUUCCCACGUGUUCUUUGCUUCGCUUUGCUGCUCCGUAUAACUCUUUCUCUCCAUAGUUCUUUCUCUUCCAGCAUCAGUGUUAUCUGCUGAAUUUAUAGUGGCUGAAUGAAACUUUGUUCCUAUAUGCUUAACAUGGUUUUCCUCUGAGAACGCUACCACGUCACAUCAGUUCCAAGAUUUGCAUAGACAUCAAGUCAGGGUGGCCGAUAAUAUGCUUAUAAACAGGCAGAGUGGCAGGCAAUGUGUUAUGAAGAACAUUUAGUGUCAUUCUUAAUAAUUUCCAAUUGGUUAUCUUUACGAGAAGUCAGAAGUGCAUAUUGUUGCAAAAUAAAAGUUCAGACAUGUACUGGCCGCUGAGUCUCAUUCCUCUAUAGAAGCUACCCAAUCUUAUGGCUUAAUGUACAUUGUCGAGAAUUAUACACAAGCUUCUAUUAUUCAUUCUACAGAGGGAAUGAAUGAAUUCAGUGCUUGUUUCUCACAUAUAAUUUACAGUAGAGAUUCUAGCAAAGUCAGUGCUUCCCUAAUUUGAAGAAUAAAAACAAAGGCGUCACCAUUCAUCAUUUCUUGUUCAUGCUGAAAUACAAGACUUAGGCAAUGUUUGUUUGUGUUCUUAUUUUUUGUUCAUGAAUAGAAUUCUUGUUUCUUUGUUCCGAGGAACAAAAGAAGAAUAGAAAUGCUUUCGUUUGCGGAUUUGUUCAAAAUCUAUUUUUUUGUUCCCGAGAACAAAUUUGGAACAGAAACAAGAAACAAAAAAAACUUAUUUAUUGUUUCUAAAACAAUUUGGAGAAACAAAUUUUCUCUUUCUUCUUUCUUUUCUUUUUCUUUUUUUCUUCUUUUUUCUUUGACCAGUCGCCGGCCGUCGAGGGCCACCGACCUCGCCGAAGAGUUGCCGGCCCUGGGCAAGGUUCGGCCUCGCCUUGGCGAGCUCACCUAGCCACCGGCGAGGCUCAGCCUCGCCGAGCCACAACCAGGCGAUCAGUGGCUGGGCGAGGCUGCCGGCCCACAUCUUCUUUAUUCCCAGAACAAGUUUACCAAAUGCGUUUUUCUGUUCAAAAAUUGUUCCGGAAUCUAUUUUAGUUUCCUGGAACAAUUUUUAAACAGAAACGUUAUCAAACACACUCUUAUUCUGAAGUUCAGUACUUUUCAAGACAUGAAGAGGUGUAGAAGAUACUAAACGUUGUAAAUAUAUAGAGGAGAGAAGUCGUAUCUUACAAAACUUCCUACCAAGGAAGCAUCCCACCUUCCACCAUACCAAUACGAACACCUGAGUGCUUGCAAGUACAAUAUACUGAGAUAUUAAAGAAGAAAGCACCAUCUGCCUCUUCCAUUGACCAGCAUAACAAUUUACGGUCUUCAUACAUCAUCGCUCUUCACAAGAGUCCAGCUUCCUCUUCCAUUGCCCAGCAUAACAAUUUAUGGUCUUCAUAAAUCAUCGCUCUUCACAGGGGUCCAGCUCCUUUGGGACGCAGCUUCUCUCCUGGCAUGUAAAAUAUAACCAAGAAUAUACCCCACGAAUGCUCCAAGCACCAACACGCACGCACCUUUAACAAACCACGAGAAAAAGGACUCAGGUGCCUCUAUGUUAGGUUCAGCACCACUAGUACCACUGUUAAGAACCUCUCCAGAUGCCAGAAUUUCCACUGUGUCAUGCACCUGGCCAUCAUGAUUUCCGAUAUAAGAAAGCACAAGCUUCUCCCUAGUAGCUACCAACCUAGUGUACCCGAACUCACCCCCUCGGUACAAUGACCUUUGAGGUUGUGGGUAAAUAGGAUCAGUCAGAUGAUCUGGUCUGGGCUGCCAGAUGGAUUGCCAAUCUUGGCCCGCCAUUCCAAGCACAAUGUGAAUUGGCAGUGCCUCCCAAUUAUCCUUGGCUGGAUCUGUACUUCCACAGGUGAAGUUAUUAAUUGGACAAAACCUUUCAUAUCUAUGUACGUGGCCCCACAACACAAGGGUCACUUUAUUCUUCACGAGCAAAGGUUCUAAGUGCUGCAUCAUUUUCUCCCUAAUGGGUCUAUCAUUAGAUUCAUAGCUUGUCGUGUACAUUGGUCUAUGCCCUUGAACUAUCACAAAAGGAGUCUUCUUCCGAUCCACCGAUUCCAAAUCAGCCUUUAUGAAAUCGUACUGCUUGCUUCCAGGAAGAAAAUUAGUCUCGGUAGACAUGUAAAGAAAGUGGAUCACUCCCAUAUCAAAUGAGUAGUACAGGUUCCGGGUGGCCGGGGCCUUCAUUCCAGUGGGUUCUGAGGAAUUGCCAGGCAUGUUGAACCUAAGGCUGUAAGGUACUCCACAUUCACCUCCCCCGUCUGUUCCAUAUAUCGUUCGGGCCCAUUCGGGCUUCCAAGGUUGCGAUGGCCAAUCAUACUCAUGAUUGCCAAUACACACAUGGUAUGGAACUUGGGCAGCGACGGGCUCGAUCUGAGUGAAGAAAUGGUCCCACAACCAAGAGUAACCUCUUGCAUAGCUGAUAUCUCCAAUGUGAGACACAAAACUU